GCGGAUGUGGCGAAAUGGUAGACGCAGCGGAUUCAAAAUCCGCCGUAGCAAUACGUGUCGGUUCGAGUCCGACCAUCCGCACCA
rnacentral:tRNA from 1 species